UACGAAGGGAGCGAGCGUUGUUCGGAAUCACUGGGCUUAAAGAGUGCGUAGGUGGAUAUGUAAGUCAGGAGUGAAAUCCCCGAGCUCAACUCGGGAACUGCUCUUGAGACUGCAUGUCUGGAAUUCGGUAGAGGUUAGUGGAAUACCCAGUGUAGAGGUGAAAUUCGCAGAUAUUGGGUGGAACAUCAGUGGCGAAGGCGACUAACUGGACCGACAUUGACACUGAGGUGCGAAAGCGUGGGGAGCAAACAGG
rnacentral:rRNA from 1 species